rnacentral:lncRNA from 1 species
CCUCGCUCCCGGGACUCGCCAGCGAGGGAUGCCGCCGGCCGCCGGGGGCCUUCUCCAGGACCAGGAGAGAAAUCCUCUCUCCGCUUCACGACGCGGCCACUCCCACCCCUGAGACGCCCACCUGGCGGACUCUGAGGGAGGAUUCGGCUGCGUCUAAUACCACCUCCACCCCUCAUCCCUCACAAUGCGCGGAAAACCACAGGCGGCUGUGCGCGCAGCGUCGGCUCAGCCACCGCAGCUCCUCCCCUGGGUAAGUUAGAGGGGAGCAGCCACCACUAAAAAUAGCCCUUCUGGGAACUCCUCCGAAGGCCAGGGUCAGGAUGAAGAUAACCCCUCCACAGGAGAAGCGAAGGCCUCCUAAGAGAAGGGUGGGGAGGGGACGGUGGGAUAGAAUGAGGAAGAUGGAGAAGGAGAAAAGCAAAACCCAAUAUCCUUGGAUCAUGAAGCCCUUGAGCCCCUUGACAACCAAGUCUCCUUUCAGGCCGGAAUCCCCAACUGCACCGCCCCUGCAAUACGGGCUAAGGGGCAGAUUCCAGGGAGACUCAGUUGGAAUGCCCCGCCUACAGCUCCCGCAUAAAGGAGUUGACGGUGCACAGCAAAACCACCUGUUGUUUAACGAGUAUGGAGGGAGGGGUUCUCUCUCAUUGAUUGAUCUGAACCGUGCUUUUCUUCUCCCCAUUUUCCCACCCAAUUUCAGGAUGAAAAAGCACUCUGACGUCUUGAAAGCUGGCAGCUCUCUGUUUGGAAAAUCUCUGCCCAGUGAAAAAAUGUACCGACAAGAUUACUAAGUAACACAGUCUUCUGGGAAUGCCUUAUCAAUGCCAGCUAUUUGAAGAGCACCCAAAGUCAAACUAGUGCUCCGCGCUGGCAGUCUGGAAAAGGCAGAUGUAUGUGAGUAGAGAAACUGAUAGACAACUAGUUGCUGGCCAGUUGGCCUGUUUUCGUGCUACAAGCCUUCAGAAAACAGUCGCCUCCUUUUACCACGUUUCUAUUUCUAAACCAAAAUGAAAAGGACGUUUGUUCAAAAGAUAUUCUCUUGGGCUUUACAUUGCUUUCCCCCUGCUCACUCAGCAAAAUCCUACACUUUUUUUCCAAUUCCAAUGCUGCUGUUGGGUGUCCUUCCCAGAAGACAACCUUAAAUUCUCUUAGGCCUUAGGAGCUGAAUCUAACACCAGUCUUAAUUAACCUACAACAAGACAAAAAUUUAGGUCCGGGCUUACCUCCUAGUCAGCAGAUGGGAAAAAUUCCUAGAGAGUCUCUGGGAAAAAGGCAAAGGCUAACUUUAGCAGUUUGCUAGAAAAAAAAAAAUUCAAGUACCUUGUAAGUCACCAGGGUAGAUGCAGCAAUACUCUCUAAGGUAGCUUUACCUCUUCAAUUCUCUUACCUUACCUGAAUUUAAACACAGUGAGGCAAGUACCAAGGUCACAACCCUCCUGUGGAGGGCCUUAUUCUGCAAGGGCUCUCUGAUAUACUUCUAUCUUUGUACCGUUGGCACCUGACCACAAGCUUAGGCAUCCCUGAAAUGCUCCCUUGCUACCCAGUGUCAAGGAAUCAUUGAACCUUAGACUUUGUACUCAGGUGAACCAGGAUGAAAUCCCUAUUCUUCCAGUUUAAACUUAGGAAAUUUACUGUUCUUUUUAUCUGCCCCCUCCCCACCACCCACAUCCCCUUAUCAUCCCUAUAGGUAUAGUACUACAGGGUGCUGUGAGAAUUAGCUAAUAUGCUCAAAGCACCAAGAACAGUGCCAAUCACUUUGUAAGUAGUCAGUAAAUGAGAGCUACUAUUGUACUUAACUACUCUUCACUGAAAGCAAAAGAACCAGGAAUAGCAAAAAGGUUUGGAAACCUGGGAUCUGAAUCCCCUGCAAGUUGAGUCCACCCCAAGUUGCUUUAUUGCAAUACUUUUGGCUACUCUUGUGUCUGCCUUCUAAUUGGAUCAACUGGGUAGUUCUUCACGUGUAGGCAGGUGAUUCACAUGCACAUUAAUGCUUGAAAGCCACUAGUCUAAAAACUAUGCUACACUGGUUAGUUCACCUCUUCUUAUUUUGUAGCAUGUAAACCUUAAAUCUAGUGAUCUUACCUCAGUCCACCUAAUUCACAUUAACAUCCACACUUAGCAAGCUCUCUGUAAAGGACUGGUAGAAUUAGCAAUCAGUCAACUUGAGUGAGGGUCUUAAAGAAGUACAAGGCUUAUUCUCCGACUUCAGGGUGUUCAUAGUUCAUGGGAAUCAUGCAUACACACAAACCAGAAUAAACCAUUUUGAAGCAAAUGUGCUUGAAGUUCAGCACAUCUCCAGGAAGGAGAGGGUACUGUGAGCUAGAUGAACUGGGUGCACAGACUCUGUCUUGACCUUUCACUUUAUACCCAAUUCUUUAGGCUAAAUUUUGACAUUCUAAUUGGACUUCCAGAGUUAGUAGUUCUCACACUAAAGACUGUGUAAUUACAAGUUAACCAUGUACAGGUUGGUGAUAGAAGCAGAAGUAGAUAUUUCUGGGCUAUGCAGGGCUAUGGUAAGGGAUUUGGAAUGAAAUAGGUCUGGGCUUAAAUCUUGUAUCUCUAGCUAUGAACUUCAGUUUCCUCAUCAGUCUAUUGGAAUAUAACUACCUUUUAGGGUUGUGGUGAGACUUAGAAUAUCUGUAACCCCUCUAGUGGGUUGUAUGGUAACAGCAAUUGUGUCACAUUGUUGUUUUGUUGUUAGCUGUAAGAAAACUCAGGCUGGGCUGAGUUGUUCCUUGAAGGCGUAAUUAAUUAAUUUUUUCUGAGACAGAGUCUCAUGCUGUGUGAUCUCGCUGACUGCAACUUCCGCCUUCCAGGUUCAAGCAAUUCUCCUUGCCUCAUCCUCCUGACUAGCUGGGAUUACAGGUGCCCGCCACCACGCCCAGCUAAUUUUUGUAUUUAUUUAUUUUUUUUAGUAGAGAUGGGUUUUCACCAUGUUGGCCAGGCUGGUCUCAAACUCCUGACCUCAGGUGAUCCACCCGCCUUGGCCUCCCAAAGUGCUGGGAUUAUAGGCAUGAGCCACCACGCCUGGCCUGAAGGCAUAAUUUAAAAGUCACCUUCUCUAUGAAGCCUCCACAGGUUCUAGGCAAGUAUAACUCUUCCUUCCUUGUGUGACCACAGCACUUACCAUGGCAUGCUCUCAUUUGUCUCUUUACAUGCCUCUUCACUACAGAGUCUGGGAGCCUCUCCAGGGCAGGGCUGUAUCUUGAUUCACUUUUAUGUCCAUUAUCAAUACCCUGCACAGGACCUGAUAUUAAAUAUUGAAAUAAUGAGUUUUUAAGUGUUUCAGUUUCUUGUAUUGGUUCUGACUUUCAGUAUAACUCUUAUUAUACUACAGGCUCUAAAACCUGAACCCUUUAGCUCAUAAAUAAUUCAUACUAAAUUUAUGUAUUAUGUAUAUGUAUCUGCUUAAACCUUGAUGAUGUCAAUGCUGGGAUUGUUCUUUCAGAUCAACCUGCUAUUCUUGUUUUGUUUUGCAUUUGAUUUCAGUUGAUCCUACCUGGUAAGAGUGCAAGUAAAAUCUACAUUCUAAACCAAAACCACCAGCAGGAUUUUACGCUGCAUUCUCUAUCCACCCUGUGCACAUCUGCUCCCCAUACCAUUUCUGAGCUUUGUGGGAAGAGGCUGAGCUAAAAGAAAACGUUGUUGUUUUAAGUUUCAGUUGUUUAGACUGUUGCAACCAUUAGCACUUUCUGAAUUAAUACCUGCAAGAUAAAUGCUACCUUUAGCAACAGUUUUGAAAUCCUUGACUCUGUGCCAUUAAAAAUGCUAGACAGGGAAAAAUAAAACCUUCCCUAGAAAAUUCUUUUGCCCAGAAAGUUGCCUGAGAGGUAAUGUCAAAUGUGGACUUGAUCCCAAAAUGGCAGUUGAAUUUGUACCAGAGGAGAUGGUGGUCUAUUGGGGCUAAAAAUGAUACCCCAAAAUGAAGGAAUAAAAAGCAGCCUCAGAAGCAAAGUCUCUGUCUAGCUUUCUCCUGCCCUCCUGUCUCUCACUCUCUUAUUCUCCCUUGAAGCAAGCCAUAGAAACUGGAAUCCUUCUUCCCUGAGGUGGGUCAUAUAAACCAGAACCUUUUCCCCAAAACCAGCCUUAGAGCCUAAACAUUUUACUCUAAUCUUCUCCCUCCCUUCCCUUUCUCUUUCUUGCUAACUGCUGGCCAUAAAGAAAUUAAGACCCUCAUUCCAGGGGGUCCUACCCCAUACCUGGGAGGAAGGAAUGUUAUAUCGAAAGGCCAAGAAGAAAUCUGAACAGACAGGCCUUGCUGGAUUUCCCCAUUCCCCUUGCUGGAUCAUACCCCUUUUGUCCAAUCAUAUUUCUACACAGCUUUCCAUACUUCAUUGAACCCAAGCAUAAAAAUGGGCCAAGAGAAGGUGGCUCAUACCUAUAACCCCAGCAUUCUGGGAGGCCGAGGUGCAACAUCACUUGGGCCCAGAAGUUACAGGUUACAGUGAGCUAUGAUCAGGACAUUGCACUCCAGCCUGAUCUACAGAGUGAGACCCUAAAUCAAAAAUAAAAAUAAUAAUAAAGGAAUAGUUGCCCCUAUAUCUUGGGGUCUUCAUUCUGAAGGCUCCUGUGUCACACAAAACUACGAUCAAAUAAAUUUGUUAUGCUUUUCUCUUGUUAAUUUGCCUUUGUUAGAGAGGUGUCAACUGUUAUGAUAGGAAGGAAAGGAAUCACCCCUUUUUGCUCCCUACAGUACCAAGGACCUAAAAAUAGGAUUCUAUAAAACUUUGAAUCAGAUUCUUCUAAAACAAACCUUAUUUAUUUUACCACCCCAAGACAGAAUUGUUUGAUCCCACUAACUUGUGAAAUUUUCUUUGGAAAUAGUAAAGAAUAAACACUUAUGAGGUACACAUUAUGUGCUAAAUGCAGGUUGAAUAUCUGUUACCCAAAUUCCUUGGGACCAGAAGUGUUCUGGAUUUCAGAUUUUGAAUAUUUGCACUAUACUUACCAGUUGAGCAUACCAAAUUCAAAAGUCUAAAAUGCUCCAAUGAGAAUUUCCUAUAAGCCUUAUGUCAGUGUUCAGAAAAUUUGGAGCACCUCAGAUUUGGGAUGCUCAAUGUGUGCUAGCUUUAUAUGCAUUGUCUCAUUUAUUCACCAUAGCUAUCCAUUACACAGGCAGUAUUAUUUUCUCAUAUUGACAGAUGAGAAAACAGAGGCCCAUUGUAAUCCAGUAGCUAGCUGAAGGUCACAUAAUCAGUGAGUAGAAGAGUUGGGAUUUGGGCCUAGGCAAGUCAAUUUCAGGGUUCUCAUGCUUACUCACUACUUAAUCCUAUAGGAAAGGAGUAUUUAUUUUUAAAUGGAACCCAUCAGUUAUUUCAGUAAGGUUAAUAAUGUACUUUUUCAGUAUUUCAAAAUUGCAUUGAUUUGUGCUUUUUCCACUAGUGUACUCAUAUCCCAUAUGUGCCUUCAUGAGCUGGUUUUACAGCUUACUCUUUAAUUGAAAAGCACUUUACAACUGAAAGCAAACUUCUUAAUCAAAGAUCAUAAUGUGUCCGUAGCUCCGAGUUAAGGCAACAUGAACUAUAACCAGACAGAGAGUCUCAUUCUUAGAAUUAUUGUUCAGAUGGGUCGAUAGAUAAGUAACUUUCACAUGAGAAAUAUUAUUAUAUUAUGAUAUAAUAAGAAAUAUAUAUAUAUAUUGGUCAUUGUCUAUGGUUCCUGGCUUACAGCUUCUAAAACUCUUGUAAUUUCCUCAGUGAUUAGAGCUAUAGGAUCAUUUUUGAUUAUAUUUGGGUUUUGUCUUUAGUUCCUGAAAUAGCUCCAGAUAAAGGUGAAAAAAGUGUCUUUUAUUACUCAUAAGAUGUCUUCUUCAACCACACCUGGGUUUAUGUUAAUGAAGCAAUUUUUGGAAAGCCCCUAGAUAACUGCAGGAUGGGAGCUGGUUGCUAUGGAAACUUAAACGUGUGUGUGUGUGUGUGUGUGUGUGUGUGUGUGUGUGUGUGUGUGUGUCUAGACUAGAGGGUUGGAAUUUUCAGCCCCACCUGGACCUUUGACCUUUUGGGAGUGUAGAGGAACUGGAAACUGACUUAAUUACCAACGCUAAUGAUUUAAUCAAUCGGGCCUAUGUAAUGAUGCCUUUAUAGAAACCAAAAAGGAUGGAGUUCAGAGACCUUCCAUGUUGAUGAACAAGAACACAUUCACCUGCUGUAGGGGUAGGUGUACCCCAAAACUCCACUGAUACAGAAGCUUCUAUACUCAAGACCCUUCUAUACUCAAGACCCUGGAUCUUACCCUAUAUAUCUCUUCAUCUGGCUAUUUAUUUGCAUCUUUUAAUAUAUCCUUUGUAAUAAACUAGUAAUCUAGAAAGCAAACUUUUCCUAGCUCUGUAGGCCAUUCUAGUAAAUGAUUAAACCUGAGGAGGAGUUAUGGGAACCUUUGAUUUGUAGACAAGUUGGACAAAAGUGGUAUAUAUCCUAAUAUAACAUGGGAACCUGCCACUUAUGAUUGGCGUGUGAAAUUGGGGGAUGGGGAAGCAGUCUUGUGGGACUGAGCCCUUAGCCUGUGGGGUCUAAUGCUAUCUUCAGGUAAUAUCAGAACUGAGUUAAAUUAUAGGAUACCAGUCAGUGUCCAUUGGAGAACUGAAUUAUUGUGAGGAGAAACCCACACAUUUGGUGGCUAAAAGUAUUGAUGUGAGUAGUAGCAUAUAGGAGUUUUUUGCUAUAUACAUAUGUAGUGUAAGUUUAAAGUAAAAAGUUUUGUAUUGUCAGGAGUGACUUCUUUGCACCUAAAUAUCACUGCUAUAACUGCGUUACUAAGGAAUAGUUGCUUGCUUUUAUGUAUUUGGCACCUGCAGCUACUGUUCUAAAAAGUUUGCAUGUGUUAACCUAUUAAUUAAAUCUACAAAUGACUGGCUGUACCCAUGAAGUGAGUUAUUCUAAAGACAAUGGAACAUUUAAAUGGUUUAGAAAUUUUUUGAUUAAAAAUACAUUAAUAAUAUCUCCUAAAGAAUGUGACUGAUUUUUUUCCAGGGCUCAAAUUUUUCAGUCUUUUCAUAACACCAUAUUUUAUUAUGCAUACACAAUAUGCCAUAGAGCCUGUCAGAUCACAACUUAACAUUGAAUUGCCUCAAAUUUCAGUGGCAUCAGCCCUGACGAAGCAUCUAAUUUUAAGCCUAAGCAAUUGUUUCUUUGUUUUGAAUGAGAAGCUGUCCUCUCUUUGAGGCAUGAAGAUCCAUGGCUCAGGAAACCUUAUCACGGUAGUGAAAUUGAAGAUGCUCUUGUUACUCACAUAAACAUGAUUCUCUCUUUGGAAAAUUAUUGUAGACGGUGCUUUGUAUGUUUAGGAAAUGCCGUAGCCAUGCGCACAUGCUCUGUCCGUGAAAGCCACCACCCAUCCUGAGGUAUGAUGCAUUUUUUUUUAGCAUUUUUGGAGCUUCUUAGUUUCCUGAAUCCACUCAUAUUUUUGUCUCUUUAGGAAACAACAUCAGCAACAACAAAGCCUGAUUUCCCUUCUCAGUAUCAGUGAUGUAUUAAUGGCACUUUUGCUGUUAGUGAAAAGAACAUAAGCUGGAAUUGAUGAGACCUGGAUUCCAGUCAUAUUUCUUUCAUUGACCAACUUUGUGACUUGGGAGAAAUCUCUUAAUAUCUUUACAUCCUCAGUCCUCAUUUGAAAAUGAGAGGAUUGGGAAAGAUGUCUUCUUAGGGCUUGUUUGGUGUGAGAAUUUUAUACAUAGAUAUUAAAAUUAUACAUGUUUAUCCUCCUUAGAUUUCAGUCAGUAAUGGAUAUUACCACCAGCAUUUAAUCAAGGAAGCAGGAAGUGAUCCAUCACUGCUAGCUGCUAUCUACAGGAAUUCUGUCUACAGGCAGGGCAGACCAGUCAGCCAGUAUCUUCCCGAAGUACCUUGGUCUUCCACCAUCCAUCCCACUGAGAGAGCCGUUCCUCUAAUGAGGCAUUUCUAAGCAGCUGUCCAUUGAACUCUACCCCUUGAGAUAUCCUGAGAAAUAGGAAUCUAUGGUUCCUAUUGUUUGGAAAGUAGUAUAUCUUCCUUGAAGAUUCACAAUGCGUAUUAAUAUGCUUAGGGCUCUGAUAAGUCCUGUAUUAAAAAUGCUUGUUAAACUUUGCUGAACCUAGCAUUUCUUUAACUUCACUUGGCCGUGGAGCUAUUUCCUUUAUUACACCUAUCAACAUUCCAAAAGAAUAAAAUUCCUUAGAAUAGAAUAUUUUGUUAUUUUUGAGUUAAAGACUGCAGAGCCUUCAUAAGACUUUUCUUGUUGGAAAGAGAAGGGAAUUGUGGGCUCUAUAACUCAUUUAAUGAAUAUCUGUCAAGAUAAGCCCUCUUGGUAGAUGUUUUCUUCAGCUAUUUUCCUUACAAACAUCAGUCAUAAUAGAGUGCCUGACAUCUUUAAUAGGACAAAGAGUAUCCAUUCUCAUUGGUAAUAGUGCAGCUUUGUUCUGUUACACUGAGGAAUAGUUCCCUGGCUGUUACAUACUCUUGUUAGCCUCUGGGUUCCAUGACAUCCUUUCAGAAAUAGCUGAAACUGAUAUAGAACACGCACAUAUUCUGAGCACAAAAAAGAUGACAUAGAAUAGUCUAUUAUUGGUGACUAUUGGAAGACAGUUCUCUAUGGGUCUCUAGUGUUUUUGUACUCUUUCUUCCAAAAUAAAUGUUCAAGGAUAUUUGUACAGUGAACAGCCUUGAAAGAUAGAGAUAAUGUCUUUCUCUGGAGCAAAAGCCAGACAUGUUUACUGUCCAGUAUAAUAAAGAUAAUGUUUUUCUCCAAAGCAAACGGGAAGCAUACUUACUGCUCAUAAAAGGUUGAUAUUCCCUAGCUCAGGAUUUCUCUCCUAUAACACAAUCCACUGUGGAGUUAGGUGCUUUCUCGCUCUCUUUGCAUCUCCCUGUGGGAAGUGGGUCUCCAGGAACUGAUAUAAAAAUGCUGAUACUUUGGAUACUGCUAUUGAAGUGAGUAGUAAACUUUCUUUUGUCUCUGACCCAGGACUUUUCACGUCUUAUACCACCAUCCCAGAAAGUGUAGCAGGCUAGUAUUUUAGUUUCCAAGGAUAAGAAAAUUUCAGACCCUCCACAUUUCUUUACAACGACUAGCUUUUUCCUCUCUACUAGGUGGAAAUUGAUGGGAUAACUUGAUAUACUUAUCUACCCUCCCUCUCUGAAUCAUUCCUGGCCUAAUGAAUAUUCUCUCCUAUGAAUGCUUUUCUAGGCCUGUUGUGGCAUUUUUCUUUUUUUUUUGAGAUGGAGUCUAGCUCUGUUGCCCAGGCUGGAGUGCAGUGGCACGAUCUCGGCUCACUGUAACCUCUGCCUCCUAGGUUCAAGCAAUUCUCUUGCCUCAGCCUUCCCAGUAGCUGGGACUACAGGCACAUGCCACCAUGCCCGGCUAAUUUUUUGUAUUUUUAGUAGAGACGGGAUUUCACUGUGUUAGCCAGGAUGGUCUUGAUCUCCUGACCUUGUGAUCUGCCCACUUCAGCCUCCCAAAGUGCUGGGAUUACAGGCGUGAGCCACUGUGCCCAGCCUCUCUUGUGGCAUUUAUGAUAGCCUUCCAUCCUUGUUUCUGAGGAAGAUUCAAUAGAGAGCUAUUAGAAGUGAUGUACUCUGAUUAAGGAAUUUCAAAGAAAAGACACCAUUAAUUUAAAGUCCAGCAUGAUAACAUUUCAUUACAAUGAUGAGACAAUAUUUUAUAUUCUAUUUUAUUUUGAAAAAUUAUUUAAAAAUCAAUUCUCAGUGAAAAGGAAUUACCAUGUUACAUUAAAGAAUGUGUGUGUGUGUGCGCAUGUGUGUGUGUGUGUGUGUGUGUGUGUGUGUCUGAGUUAGUUGCGUUGAUAGCUUCCAAAAUGAAAACACUAGGGUUCAGAUAAGAUGAACUGCUUCCAGUGACCAAAAGGAGGAGCAUUUAACCACAACAUGAAAACAGCUUAUGGUCUCAUUUAGGAGACUGAAAACAUCUCUGAUCUCUUAAGUGUCUCGAAUAUUCUUUAGCUUGUAAAAUGCUCCAGAUAAUAGCUAUUUAUAUCUGAUCUGAUACCAUUUUAUAUUAAUUGUUCAUUUUAUUGGCUUAACCAAAAUUCAAAAUUAUACCUUCUAUAAUAAUAUAUCUGAUCAUUUGCUUUGAAACAAACACUUUCUGAUUGAAAAAUUAUCAGAGACUUUAAAGUAUAACAGUAUUGAUUUAAGAGCAACCAGGUCUGCACAUUUGUAAGAUGACAAGCAAGUUGUAGGCUGACAACUUGCUGCAGUGAUUUGAAUGAUACAGACAAGGUAGCUGAUUAACAUUUGCUGAGGAUUUACUCUACGUCAGGCAUGAUGUUAAAGAUUUCACAUGUAGGCCAGGCGCGGUGGCUCACCCCUGUAAUCCCAGCACUUUGGGAGGCCGAGGCGGGCGGAUCGCAAGGUCAGGAGAUCGAGACUAUCCUGGCUAACACAGUGAAACCCCGUCUCUACUAAAAAUACAAAAAAAUUAGCCAGGAGUGUUGGCGGGCGCCUGUAGUCCCAGCUACUCGGGAGGCUGAGGCAGGAGAAUGGCGUGAACCCAGGAGGCGGAGCUUGCAGUGAGCCGAGAUCGCGCCACUGCACUCCAGCCUGGGCGACAGAGCGGGACUCCAUCUCAAAAAAAAAAAAAAAUUUUACAUGUAUGAUUUCAUUUCAUCCAUGUAACAACAGGAUAACAGGUAAUCUUACUAUUCCCAUUUCACAGAUAGGGAGUCUGAGGCACAUACAGCUAAUGUCACUUGCCUAGCCUCAUGCUGCUAGUAAGUGGCACAGCCAGGAGUAUAACCCGGACAGCUUGACUUGAAAGCCCACACUCUUAUCACGCCCUUUCUAUCUUAAAACAUCACAGUAUUUUAAACUGCUGGAAAAUGUCAUUUUUUCCCCCUAGAGUGCUAAACAAAAAUAAACAGUCUUGCUUAUCUGGAGUUUCAUACCUAAUUAUCUUCACAUAUACGAUGUUUUUGAUCUUCAUUUCUCUACAGUGAAUAUAUUUCAGGACCAUUAAGGGUGAAUUGGUAUGCAUCAGCCCAUGUUGACUGAGAAAAAAAGAUACCGUAUAGCCCAUUUUGAGUAGGGAGACAUUCUAGUUAUGCCACUUGGAAAUGUUUCACAUAAGGUUUUGCUGUAUCCCAGACUCCUAACAUAGAUGCAUUUGAAAAAUCAUUUAGUAACCUAAAACAAAUACCAAGAGAUGUUGAGUGUCUUUAAGUCUAUAUCCAAAGAGGGAGGAAAGAGCAACAAUAUUUUAAAAGUUACUAAUUCUCUACCUGGAGAUGUUUCCAUUUUUCAUGAUUAUAAAGACUAUUACUGCCAGCCCCAAACUGCCCAAUUUCCAGGUUCCCCAGGUGGGCACAUUGUGAUGCUGCCUAGGCUACAAGUCACAUCACAAUACUUUUCCUCAGAUCAGACUGGCAGCUCAGCCUCUCCAGUUUCCCAAGGAGGGUGAGGUGAGGAGUGGUGCAAGACUUCUGAGUGCUUUAAGGGGAAAGGAAUUUUUUUUUGAGAUGGUGUCUCGCUCUGUCGCCCAGGCUGGAGUGCAGUGGCGAUCUCGGCUCGCUGCAAGCUCCGCCUCCUGGGUUCACGCCAUUCUCCUGCCUCAGCCUCCUGAGUAGCUGGGACUACAGGCGCCUGCCACCACGCCUGGCUAAUUUUUUUUUUUUUUUUUUUUUUUAGUAGAGACGGGGUUUCACCAUGUUAGCCAGGAUGAUCUCGAUCUCCUGACCUCAUGAUCUGCCCGCCUUGGCCUCCCAAAGUGUUGGGAUUACAGGCGUGAGCCACCGCGCCUGGCCAAAAGGAAUUUUUAAACUCUUUUAUGAUUAUUUCUUAGGAUGAUGAGGAAAUCAUUUAAUAAGCAACCUUUAUAGAUUGCUGCCUAGCCUCUCAAAACUCCAAAAUGAUUUCUAAAAAAUAGCAAUAAAAAGGCUUCAUGCAAAAUUCUCUGCAACGUUACAUCUACUCAGUGUCCUGGCUACCGAAGACAAAUAGUAUGAUACACAUUUCAGUUGCAAAAGCAAGUUUCACUUCUAGCAUCCCAUGCAACCAUUUUCACAAGAAAAUGAGGAGUCGUCAUGGUCUUUGCUGAAAAACUUUUGUGAAGAUUGGUGGAUAUUUUUCUGUCUUUCUGUUAAGACCCUGAAGAACAGAGUUGAGUGGAACUUACUUUCUGUUUCUGUUAUCUAGAGUGAAUUAAGAAGUUUAAGAGAAGCAAGUAUGAAUCUCCUGAUCUUGUGAAAUCUCAAGUAGCUAAAAGGAAGUAUUGACAUUUUUUAACUGGAAGUAUUUGAAUUUACCUGGAUUUAAACCUGCAUUGGCAUUUUUUAUAACAUAUAUGAUGACUGAAUUUCUGUAGACCCAGUAGGAAAUCGCCUAUUUUUUUUUUUUUUUUUUUGAAAAAUCAUCUUCCCGAACUUUGCAGUUCUUUAAUCAAAUUUGCACAUGGCUCUGAUGGGUUUAUAGUUCUUUACUGCCUCCCUGAUUUUGCAUGUGUCUUUAUACCAUCUUCUAAUUUCUUACUUCCUUUUUGUCCUUAUCACUAUACUCUCUUUCUCUCCAAAUUCCAUCAGUCUUUAAAUGUUCACUUCAAAUUCUAUCUUCAUAAAGUUUUUCUCACACUUUCUUUUCUGUAAAUGCUUUCCUAUGGUUUGAAUGUUUGUGUCCCCUCAAAAUUCAUAUGUUGAAACCUAAUUCCCAGUGUGAUAGUAUUAAGAAGUGGGGCCUUUGGGAAGUGAUUAGGCUAUGAGAUUUCCAGCAUCAUGAAUGGGAUUAAUGCCCUCAUGAUAGAGGCUUUAGGGAGCUUAUCCCUUUUGCCAUAUGAAGAUGCAGCAAAGAGACAGCAAAAAGGUACCAUCUAUGAAGCAGAGAAGCCCUUACCAGCCACCAAAUCUGCUGGUGACUUGACCCGAACUUCUCAGCCUCCAAAACUAAGGCAAUAAAUGUUUAUAAAUUAUUCAGUCUAAGGUAUUUUUUCACAGCAGUCCAAAGGGACUAAACUACUCUAUAGUCAUUAAUCAUCACUCUUACCUUCCAUACCUAUGAGAACCUAAAUAAGCUGCUUAACUUCUCUGAGCCUCAGUUUCCUGAGAAAUAAAUGGGGGUAAUUAUAGUGUCUACUUUAUAGUCUGGUUGUGAGGGUUAGAUUAUUUAAUACAUAUAAAAUAUUAGAACAGAGCCUGACAUAUUGUAAGCAUGUGACAAACAUUAAUUU